CUUUUCUCCAGAUUGUGGCUAGGUUUCUCCAUUUUCUGUUAUCUCUUCUAUUCUAUUAUUUUCUUCUAUUUUCUUUCUUACCGCUAUUUUUUAUUUUUCUUCUUCGUGCUACAGCUAUUUAUAUUGUUCUUCUUUGUUCUACCGCUAUUUUUAUUUUUAUUCUUCGUGACAGGGGUUCAUUUUGGCCUGGGGAGUCAAGUUCAGCAUUCGUUUCAAUGAUAUCUGGCGCCAUCUAGCGGCGUGAAUGGGUAAAAUGUCUAGACCCCGAAUA